GUAGCUCAACAGUAGAGCAUGUGUUUUGCAUUCAGAAGGCCCCAAAUUCAAUACUUGGCAGCUCCA